UCCAGUAUGAGGAAACAGGACCAGCUGAGGAAUUGGCAAGAACCUCGUGAUAAAACUCUAUUACUGAAGACACAACAUACUUAAGUCUUCACACAUGGAUAAAUCAAGCCAGUACUAUUCUGGAAGGUUCAUCCCUACUGGUUAGAUCUCAUCGUUGAAAGGUGCUGUGUCUGCUACUGGAGGGAAAAAAUAAUCAUCACUCUUACCUAGCUGUGAACCAUUAAAGAAUGACCAGGCAAUACUCUUAGAAAAUUGGAGACCAUUCUGCAGCUGCUCUCUGUUGAGGGAAGUGAAUAAUAGGGUGCCCUCAAGGAAUUUCAAAGGUAUCACUCAACGGAAACUUUUGUGUCUGAAGAAAACUAGAUCAUUUUAUCAUGGUAGGCAUACUGAUAUGUUUGCUUUAAUAAAAUGCCAUAUUUCUGCCUUUAAUCUCUUGUCAACUUGCUAUUAAAAAGCCCCAGAGUGCAUGCGUGCAGCACAUGUAAACACUUGUGGUUUUGAAGUUACCACAGAACAUACUAAUAAAGCAUGUAAUUUGUGUUUGGUGCA